UUAUUGGAAACUUUCUGCAGUCUUACCUUCAAAGCUCAGGCGCCUUUGAAGUUCAAUGCGACGGGGAACUGGUGUUCUCUAAAUUGAAAGAAGGUAGAUUUCCAGGAGAGAUCGAACUGAGAGAUCUCAUCAGCAAGACCUUAACAAGACCAAGCACACUCUACUGAAGUAGUAUCAGAAGAUAGUGAAGUUCAACAAAGUAUUUUGGCACGAGAUGGUGUUACAGUAUCAUAUGCCAACAGUGUGUCUUUAUGUUUUUAAGUUACAUCAUGUUCCAAUAUUUCCCAUUUAAGUCUGUUGAUGUAGCAUACCUUGGUUUUAACUAAGGAUGUAUUACUUCUUUUAAUCAAAUCAUAUAAGGCAUUAGUUAUAGCCAUU